GUUCACUCGUCCACCAUGAACAACAACUGGUCGAAAAACAAAGCUGCAGGACGUCUUUGUUGGAGAUGUCAAGGUCUGAUCAUGUGGUUGGUUCUGGAAGGCAUUGAGGUGACACAGCGCUGAGUGGAGAGCGAUGGCUAUUGCGUCGACGGUGGAUCGUCGGUAGAAGACAAUUUCCAUGCCAGACAAGACGCCACCAUCCCCAUGUUGUUUUUUUAAUGUUGCCAUGUUGUUUAAAGAAAACCUACGCUAGCCGGGCUCGCUCCUCGCGCAUCUGUGUUCGCGCUCGUGCAUGAUUGCGCGUCCAGGUACUUGGAAUGGGUGGAGUCAGAGUCAGCGUUGAAGGAGAGGAGGUAGGACCAUUUGAGUUGUGUGUUUUCAAAAUCUGC
ensembl:lncRNA